GUGCUCACUUCAGCAGCACAUAUACUAAAAGUGGAUCAAUACAGAGAAGAUUCGCACUGCCCUGGUGCAAGGAUGGCAAGCAAAUUCGUGAAGUGUUCCGAAAUUUA